AGAAGCGCUACUGGCACUGCUAGUCGUCGUCAUCUUGGCUCUCGAAGGCGAUGCACAGCCUUGGGGUAAGCUACGGAUAAGGAUUGUACCUCCGCCGGGGAGGAUUAUACCUCCGCCAGGGAUGAGAAAGGAAGCAGCUGAGCCAACGAUGGAGAAAAUAAUAUCUCCGCCAGGGAUGAGAAAGGAAGCAGGUGAGCCAAUGAAGGAGAAAAUAAUAUCUCCGCCAGGGAUGAGAAAGGAAGCAGCUGAGCCAAUGAUGGAGAAAAUAAUAUCUCCGCCAGGGAUGAGAAAGGAAGCAGCUGAGCCACUGAUGGAGAAAAUAAUAUCUCCGCCAGGGAUGAGAAAGGAAGCAGCUGAGCCAACGAUGGAGAAAAUAAUAUCUCCGCCAGGGAUGAGAAAGGAAGCAGCUGAGCCAAUGAUGGAGAAAAUA